rnacentral:rRNA from 1 species
AUGCCAGGAUUCGAGCAGACCGCCUACCUCGCGUUCGAGCCCACCAUCUCGCCGCAUUACCAGGUCUUUCUGAUCCCACGUGUGCCACUGCGACGACUGCCAGCCGACGGCGAAUCCGACGACGAUAACCCGUUGCUCCGGUCGGAGUGGCCUCCAGCGUCAUACCCCAUCCAUGUGUUCUCAUCGGUGACUCAGCGAUGGGACGAGAUGACCUUCCUCCGGGAAGGGGAGGCUGCAGGGAUCAUCGCCAGCAUGAAGUGGAAUUCUUGGUAUGAGCACUGUCGUUUUUAUGCCGUCUACUGGCAAAGCGCGCUCUACAUCCAUUGCACGAAUGACUAUCUUACCAGAAUGUCCUUGUUAGAUCACACAUACAGAGUAAUUAAACUACCAUGUGUCAGUGAAUUGAGGGGAUAUCCCAAACACCAUCUCGGGAUAUUGUCGAGAGGGGUGUAUUGCGCAACACUUGAUUACUGGAAUCAUCGACUUUGGGUUUGGUAUCUCAGUGAAUCAUGCGGUCAAACAGAUUGGAUUUUAAAACAUGAUACCUGUCUUAAGAUCUUUGAACAUGGUGACUAUGCUCAACAACUGGGCAAACAAUGGAUCUUACAAGAUGUUAGCUACCGUAAGUCGACCUCUGACGACCCCGAGUACGCUUAUACUAGAGAUGAAAAUCACAAAGCGCUUGUGGAAGAGAAAUAUGACUGGAACUCUGACGAGGAUAACAUUCUUGACACUGAAGACGUCGUUGAAAAGGCUGAAGAAUAUGAUACCGACAUAUCUUAUUUUUUCCUUGGAUUUGAUCCUUAUAAAGAGGUCGUCUUCUUGAUUUCAUCAGAGAUAACAACCAUAGGACUAGCCUAUGACUGGAACAACUCAAAAUUUCAGUACUUGGGCAGUUCCUGUCCAUGGCUAGAAGCUUACACUGACCCCCCAUAUGGAAGGACGGACGCAUCUUUCGUGUACACGCCUUGCUGGAUGGGCAAGUUUUCUGGAAACGAAUUAGAAUCUCUAUUUGAAGAUGAGAAGCUAUAUAGGAGAGAGUUGGAACAGGAAUCUCAACUUAAGGAGGAAUCCAACUUUACCUACAUGGGCGAGUACGAGCUGAGCAAGCACCGUGGGCGUGCCAAGAGGGUCAAGGACUCCGCCGACAAGGUUCGUCGCAGACGCCACAUUGCCGCUCGGUAG